UUAGAACAUAGAUUUCUGGGAAUUAAUGUAAUAUUUAUUUGAUUAAAUGCUCUUAGAAAGAUACACAAAACAAGAAAAGGAUUGAACAUAUGCUAUGAUGUCUAAUCUGAGUGGGUUCUACUAUGCUUUAUUGAAGGAAGCCACAUGUCAUCAGAACUGGGAACUUUAUGGGAUCCUAUGCAUUGUAAGGCUUAGAGAUUG
rnacentral:lncRNA from 1 species